CGGGGGGGGCAAGCGUUGUUCGGAAUUACUGGGCGUAAAGGGCUCGUAGGCGGCCAACUAAGUCAGACGUGAAAUCCCUCGGCUUAACCGGGGAACUGCGUCUGAUACUGGAUGGCUUGAGAUUGGGAGAGGGAUGCGGAAUUCCAGGUGUAGCGGUGAAAUGCGUAGAUAUCUGGAGGAACACCGGUGGCGAAGGCGGCAUCCUGGACCAACACUGACGCUGAGGAGCGAAAGCCAGGGGAGCAAACGGGAUUAGAUACCCCGGUAGUCCUGGCCCUAAACGAUGAAUGCUUGGUGUGACGGGUAUCGAUCCCUGUCGUGCCGAAGCUAACGCAAUAAGCAUUCCGCCUGGGGAUACGGUCGCAAGGCUAG
rnacentral:rRNA from 1 species